UGGGGAAUUUUGGACAAUGGGGGAAACCCUGAUCCAGCCAUCCCGCGUGUGCGAUGAAGGCCUUCGGGUUGUAAAGCACUUUUGGCAGGAAAGAAACGUCAUGGGUUAAUACCCCGUGAAACUGACGGUACCUGCAGAAUAAGCACCGGCUAACUACGUGCCAGCAGCCGCGGUAAUACGUAGGGUGCAAGCGUUAAUCGGAAUUACUGGGCGUAAAGCGUGCGCAGGCGGUUCGGAAAGAAAGAUGUGAAAUCCCAGAGCUCAACUUUGGAACUGCAUUUUUAACUACCGGGCUAGAGUGUGUCAGAGGGAGGUGGAAUUCCGCGUGUAGCAGUGAAAUGCGUAGAUAUGCGGAGGAACACCGAUGGCGAAGGCAGCCUCCUGGGAUAACACUGACGCUCAUGCACGAAAGCGUGGGGAGCAAGCAGG
rnacentral:rRNA from 1 species